GACGAACGCUGGCGGCGUGCUUAACACAUGCAAGUCGAACGGAAAGGCCCCUUUGGGGGUACUCGAGUGGCGAACGGGUGAGUAACACGUGAGUAACCUGCCCUUGACUUCGGGAUAACUUCAGGAAACUGGGGCUAAUACCGGAUAGGAAUCCUUGCUGCAUGGUGGGGGUUGGAAAGCUUCGGCGGUUUUGGAUGGACUUGCGGCUUAUCAGCUUGUUGGUGGGGUAGUGGCUUACCAAGGCUUUGACGGGUAGCCGGCCUGAGAGGGCGACCGGCAACAUUGGGACUGAGAUACGGCCCAGACUCCUACGGGAGGCAGCAGUGGGGAAUAUUGCACAAUGGGCGGAAGCCUGAUGCAGCAACGCCGCGUGCGGGAUGACGGCCUUGGGGUUGUAAUCCGCUUUCAGCAGGGGCGAAGCUUGUGGUGACGGUACCUGCAGAAGAAGCACCGGCUAACUACGUG
rnacentral:rRNA from 1 species